AUAUAAGCAUUUGUGGUUAUUAAUGAUUUUACAAAUCUUUGUUUCAGUUACUAAGUGCAAUGUCUGAAAAACUGACUAACUAUGAUGAUGUGCCAUUACCACAAGAUCUUUCAGAAGGAGUUGAUGAAAGUGAAUGGGUAAGAACCAUUAAAAAUUGAAGUAAAAAAUAGUUUUAACAACAUUCCGUGCACAGAAGCAACAGAAUUUGUCAAGGAAAAUCUGUCGACCAUACACACGAAAAAGUAUAAACUUGCCAAGGAAACUUGUCAGGGAAAGUUGCUCGUGUAUAAGGCUUAAGAGUUGGUGAGAGUCGAUGAGAGUUGGAAUAGACAACUUGCAUGCUAGACUAAUUUUUGAUUUAGACAAGUAAAGAACUUAUCAAAUAGUGCAUUUUUUAGCGAUUCCCAGUAAGCCGUUCGCGCUCGUAUUCGACUUUUCCGCUUUGCUCGGGGACAACCUCAAUUGAAAUAGCUGUAUACAGCAUUUCGAUAUUUGCGUCAUUUGGCCUGGGAGCCUCGCUCUCAUGAGUCGUGAGCCAAUCACCUUGCGUAAUUUACUAAUGAGAGAGCGAGGCUCCAAGACCAAAAAAGUAUGUAUGACGUAAUUAUCGAAAGGGUGUAUUGCUGCCAUCUAAAAACACACCGGUAAAAAAUUUCCUCUGAUUAACCAAUCACAUGUAAUCACAUGUAUACGUACUUGGUCAGUUAUAAAGGUAGCAGUAGUGGAAGUCAAAUUUAAACCUCACUAUUGGCGUAAUCUCCCCCUAACCAAAGGCCAUGUUACACGGUGCAAUUUUUCUUGCAACUUGCAAUGCAAUUCUACUCUUGAGAGAUGUUAAUUAGUGAAAUCAGUGAAGAAUUUUUGAUAUGUUGAGAAAACAUCAGCGGAGUGUAAUGAAGACUCGUAUUUGGUAAUUUUACAUCUCUCAAGAGUAGAAUUGCAUUGCAAGUUGCAAGAAAAAUUGCACCGUGUAACAUGGCCUUAAGACCUGUCUGAUUAUUUUAAAUCAGAUAGGAUAUCAUUGUGUCCUGGCGUUGACGUAUGUUUCAUGUUCUAGGACGACUGAGCUGCUGUGCUGGAAUUGACAACCACGUACUAAUCCUCGAAGUCCGCUUGUUUUGAAAGUGAACAUAUCGUCAGUUCGCCAUUUUAAUAUUAACCGACAGUACUUAGGUAUAUAAUGCCAAAUUUUUGUAAACACUGAACAGUGGCGGACAAACUGCCCCCCCCCCCCCCCCCCCGCCCCGCCGCAAUAAUUUCCUGAAGCCUUUUAAAUUGUGCCUGGAAAUCUAUGUAACAAACUGUAACAGUAAUUUUUCAUCCAUGAAAGUGUUCGUAGGCCAAAAUUCGAGCUAUACCUGUCUUUGCAUGCAAUUUAAAACAUUUUGAAGACAAAGAUUCCAGCUACGAAAAGUGGUCACAUGUUGGCAACCUAACUCGUCCACCUACCCCCCACCCCAAUAUUUUGUGUCCGCCACUGUAAUUGAAUCAAUUUUCCAGAUUUAAUAUAUUUUAAUAAUUUUUAUACCCUAACACAUCACAAAAUGUACAUAGUUAAUUUCAACUGCUUAGAUAUUAAACAUGGUAAAAUGUCACAUAGAUCUCCCCGAAAUUUCAACUGUUUAGAAAUUAAACAAUAGACGCGAUCGUUAACUUGUCUUAACCUUUAUUUUACCCAAGAAAGCAAUUAACGAGUAAAGAAGUUAUUUAGAAAAUAUAUUGCCUUUAUACAAAUAUGUGUUCUACAAGAGAGAGAGAGACCUAAAUACGCAUGCGCUUACUAAAUUAUGCCAAUCUUAAUUAAAGUACUUUAUUUAAUAUACAUAACACGUGUCCAUAUGUUAGAACUUUAUUAAGUCAAAUGCAAGUUGAUGACAAUAUAUCAAGCAUGUUUCGCUCGCUACUCUGGUUUAAAUAAAUGAUUACAAAGCCCAGUCGAAUUGUAAUCAAGACCCAACGUUUCGACACUCCAGCCUAGUGUCUUCAUCAGGGGUGAUCUAAAGUUGCAAUCGUGGCUUCUUAAAUAUCCAAGGGGUGACGUCACCUGCCAAUGAGAUGCAUGUAUUCCUCUGGCAAAUGGGCACCUUCAUCCCUAUUCAAAGCAUGAUUACUCAUAUUUAUAUGCCACGCUUCUAGGCAAAGUCUUUGACCACAGCAUUUGUUUGUGGUAAUUACUUUAAAGUUUUCCCACGCAAUCUAGCUCGUGUUUGGUGUAA
rnacentral:lncRNA from 1 species